rnacentral:lncRNA from 8 species
AUGAGGUGGAGGGCGCCAUGUUACGCUGAGGUACGCACCAUCUCGCCUAUACGGACGCACAGCCCAGUUCGCCCAGUACCAGCACCCCGCAGGUGGCAGGGCAAGGUGAGCAUCGAGCCGGAAGGGGUGAUGCCAACCCUGCACUCAAGACCGCCAGUGCGCCCUUUCGGUCCGGUGUUUCCCACUAGACGCACUAGCAUGGAGGUGCGUGUCUCCAGGCUGGCACAUCCAAUACCAGCCCCACGCAUCAGGAGUCUAGUGUGUCAGCCCAGCCUCGCCAGUCAACAGUCACCAGAGCUGCCCGCCAGUCAACAGUCACCAGAGCUGCCCGCCAGUCAACAGUCACCAGAGCUGCCCGCCAGUCAACAGUCACCAGAGCUGCCCGCCAGUCAACAGUCACCAGAGCUGCCCGCCAGUCGUAAGUCGCCAGAGCUGCCCGCCAGUCGUAAGUCGCCAGAGCUGCCCGCUAGUCGUAAGUCGCCAGAGCUGCCCGCUAGUCGUAAGUCGCCAGAGCUGCCCGCUAGUCGUAAGUCGCCAGAGCUGCCCGCUAGUCGUAAGUCGCCAGAGCUGCCAGACUGCCCGGUGCUGCCAGACUGCCCGGUUCUGCCAGACUGCCCGGAGCUGCCAGAGUGGCCCGACUGCCCGGAGCUGCCAGAGUGGCCCGACUGCCCGGAGCUGCCAGAGUGGCCCGACUGCCCGGAGCUGCCAGAGUGGCCCGACUGCCCUCCGGCCCAGCCCGAGUGGCCCGACUGCCCUCCGGCCCAGCCCGAGUGGCCCUCCUGCCCUCCGGCCCAGCCCGAGUGGCCCUCCUGCCCUCCGGCCCAGCCCGAGUGGCCCUCCUGCCCUCCGGCCCAGCCCGAGUGGCCCUCCUGCCCUCCGGCCAGCCCGAGUGGCCCUCCUGCCCUCCGGCCCAGCCCGAGUGGCCCGCAUGCCUUCCGACCCAGCCCGAGUGGUCCGUCUGCCAGGGUCAGCCCGAGUGGCCCGUCUGCCCGGCGCAGCUAUCGGCGCCACCAAAGUGGGCGACGCCGAAGGUGGAGCGAGGUCCACGUCCUGCACCUGAGCCACCUCCAGGAUAGGUGGGUUGGGGAGGGAGGGUGUAGCACAGUGCCGUCGGUGACGGCAGCCACCCUCCCUUCCCUCCCUUAUUGUUUAGGGGUUAUUGUUUGUUGGUUUUGUUGGGGUAUUGGGGAUUUUCUUGUGUUUUCUUUUUUUGAGGGGGGUGGGUACUGUCACGUCCUGACCAGCAGAGGGCGUAAUUGUGUUAGUCUUGGUCAGGAUGUGGCAGGUGGUUUGUGUUUGUUAAAUGUUUGUGUUGUUGAUUGGGACUUCCAAUUGAAGGCAGGUGUGUUGAGUUGCCUUUGA